AACCAACUAGGCCCGCCAACCCACAAGCAGAUAGAAAAUAAGCUGAUUCUAUAGGACAGAAAAAGGAAGAGGGCAGGGGUCAUAAGGGGAUGUAAGCAUAAGAUACCCAAGCCAGAAACAGCAACCCUUCCAGGUCCCCUUCCCCCACGUGGAAGCUUUCCUUUCACUUUCGCUUUAAUAAAUCUUGCCGCAGCACACUCUCUAAUCGAGCUGUAACACUCGCCACUGCCGUCCACGGCUUCAUUCCUUGAAGCCGUGAGACCACGAACCCUUCGAUUGAGAAGAACCUUCGGUCGGAAGAAGACUUCUCGUCUCAGUAACAAUAACAAGAAAAACAGCCUAGACUAGACGCACAUCAGGAAGACAGACGUGACUUGCUCCUCCUUGCCUUCUGCCAUGAUUGUGAGGCUUCCCCAGCCAUGUGGAAAUGUACCCAGCAUAACCCCAUUGAAGAGCUGUUCCCUGGGACCUGGAGAGGAACACAGCAGGCUGCCAUGCCCACUGCACCUGCAGGUGAGGCAAGGCAGUAAAACAGAGAGGCUGUGACUAUCCAGGCAAACAGUUGAGAGUUUGAAUUUCUGCUCUGCUGCUCAUGGGCUGUGUAACCCUAAGACAAUUAUUUGACCUCUCUGAGCCUCAAUUUUCUCACCAGUAAAUUGAGAAAAAUAGUACCGUCUGGUAAACUCUCAAGGAAUGUUGGAUGAAAGAACAAAAACAUGAGUGAAUGAACAAAUAAUGGAAUACAUGUUAAAGGACCAACAGAUGUGUAUACCUGCUGCAUAGUAACUUAUCAAUACACUGAGACAGCAGGGUUUGCAGCAGAGAAAGAGUUUAAUAAUUGCAGGGCACCAAGUGAGGAGAUGGAAGGAGACUGUUUUUUCCAUCUCUGCAAGGGUUUCUGGGCUGGAGCUGUUCAUGGAGGUUGAGGGGCUGGAAGAUUGGGGUCAUUGAUUGGUUAGGAUAGGAGGGAUAAACCAUCAGGACAUGGAAACUGCAUUCUUUGGUAAGACAGUUUCUUGCAGGGUCCUUCAGACCAGCUGAGUUAGUAGUUUCACUGGUAUACCAGAUUGAAAGGGUAUCUGAUAUGAUUUGGCUGUGUCCUCACCCAUAUCUUAUCUUGAAUUCCCAUGUAUUUUGGAAGGGACCUGGUAGGAGGUCAUUGAAUAAUGGGGGCAGGACUUUUCCAUACUCUUCUCAUGAUAGCAAAUAAGUCUCAUGAGAUCUGACAGUUUUAAAAAGGGGAGUUUUCCUGCACAAGCUCUCUCUUUGCCUGCUGCCAUCCAUGGAAGAUAUGACUUGCUCCUCCUUGCCUUCUGCCAUGAUUGUGAGGCCUCCCCAGCCACAUUGAAAUGUAAGUCCAUUAAACCCUUUUUCCUGUAUAAAUUACUCAGUCUCGGGUAUGUCUUUAUCAGCAGCAUGAAAAUGGACUAGCACAGUAUCCCAAGUGGACAAUAUUUUCCAAUGUUCAAGUUGUUAAUUACAGAGCAGUUACAUGGAACUCUAAUCUUGGAACAGGUUCUAUGUGAUUAUGAGGCAAUCAGCACCAAACAGCUAUGAGGAAGCAGUUCAGAGAGCAGGAAGCAGUUCAGAGAGCAGGCUUCCCUCAUGGUGAAUGCUAAGCGUGCUGCAAGCUGGGUUCAGUUCCUUUUCCCCAGCUUCCUUCUUCCCUGGUUCAUUUUCUAAAGUUUACAGGGACAGUUUCACAGGUGAACGGUCAGCAUUCAAAUUCCCGCUUUGCUACUUAUAGACUGUGUGACCCUGGGGCAAUCAUUUAAUCCUUUUGAGCCUCAAUGUUCUCACCAGUAAGAUCAAGAAAAAGUAGUAACUAUCUGGUAAACUCUCAAAGAAGAUUGGAUAAAAGAAUGGCAAUAUGAAUGAAAAAAUAAAUGAAACAAUAAAUGUUGUAUUCUGGCUUGUUCCUGAUAUAGAAAAUAAGAAAUAAAAUUAAGAGAUUAAGUAACUUAGACACUAAGUAUUAAUUAGGUUAAUUGACAGCAAUAAUGCAUGGGGCUCAGAAGCAGCUACUUAGGAGGUGAAGAUUUUGUUUAGAAAUCCAGCUCCACCUUUUAUUGAUUUGGUGACCUUGAGAGAGUUACUUUAACUCCCUAAUGAUCAGUUUCCAAAUCUAACAUAUGGGGAAAUUUUAAAUGGUUAAAGUAGAACUUAAAGUUUCCAGAUUCAGUACUUUGGGGAUAAAUUAUGUAGAAAAUUGAACAAAUGAGCUGGACAGAUGUGGCCACUGUGUGUUCUCUUCUAUCACUUUCUGUUUUACUUAUAUAUGUCUCAUUGUCUACUCAGAAAGUGAGUCACUGGUACCAUAUCCCUAUCAUGUAUAUCUCAGGGGUUUAGUGAAGAACCAAAUAUUCAGUGCUAUAACGAUUCUGACAUUUCUAUAUACAAGUAACAGAAAUUGCUAAAAUAAUGGCUCACACAGUCAAGGCACCUACGUAUCUCCUAGUGGAGAAAACUGUGAGUAGGUGAUUCUAGAUUGAUGCAUUGGUUUAGCAAUGAAACCAAAAACAGGGGCCCUUUGUACAAUCCAUGUCUGCCAUCCUCCAAUGUUGAUUUUUCAUUCUCCUGCUUAGCAAAUCAUGUUCACAAGAUGGCUGCACAGCUUUCGCCAUCACAGCCUUUUCAUGGCAGAAAGAAGAGGGAAGGUUCCUAUCAUAUUUUUCCUUUUGUUAAGGAGGCAAGAGUUUUCCCAGAAAUCUCAAAUGACUGUCUAAGACCUCAUCGGCCAGCACUGGGUCACAUGGCCACCUCUUGUUAGAAGGAAGUUUGGUAAAGUGAGUGCCUGGCUUUGCAGGUAUUUUAGUGGGAGGGGACAAAGGAGAAGGUGGUGAAAAUGGCUGUUGUGUUAAUUGAAACAGUGUCGGCCACAGCCGCAGAAUAAACAUGUGGAGAAGGUCAUUGAUCACCUUGACUGAAGCACUGCAGACAAGAUAAAGACAGCCUGAUGCAGAGGAAGAUUGAGGACUAAGGGGCUUCAUCCACAGGUGAGCUCACAUCUGAAAGCCGUGCUUACAUGAAUGUGAAAAUAUCUCAUCCAUGGAGUUGCCCACCUCUUGCAUUUAAGAAUCAAACUUCACCCUUUCUGUCUCCAAAGCUUCAUGUUUAUAUGGUAAAAAGAAAAAAAAAUCAGUGUAACUCAGAUGCCUCCCAAGUUUCAUCCCACUCUUCUCCAAAGAUAGUGUUCUUCCUUGAGUAGUCUUCUCUUUUGUCUACUGUGCAACAAGAUGUAUAACCAUCACCUUCCCCACCAGAUAACAUGCUAGGAUGCUUUCUGUUAGGAUAUGAAGAAGAGUGAUACUGACAUGCUAGUGAUAAUACUCUUGGAGCUGGGAAACUUGCAGAGUAACCAGGCGUCUACUGACCCACCACAUUUUUACCUUAUGACCAAAGACAAGGCCCUGUCAUAAUAGACUGUCAUCAUAGGAGGUAGCAUGCAUCCAUUCAUCCAACAGAUAUUUACACAGUGGGUCCUAAGUGCAGAUAUUGAAAUGAUCAGGGUUAUAAGACACUAACAAUGCCAACGGAGUGGGUUGAUAUAGAAAUUUAUUCUAAGUGCUUUAUGUGCCUUUUCUUCUUGUUCUGAAUGAAAAACAUGUGAGGUAUUUUCUGUUAUGACGUCACUGUAGAAGUAAAGAAACGGAAGCUAAAUGGCUGAGUAACACAGCUGUCAAUAGUUAAUAGUUAGUAAGGGGCAGAGCUGGAAUUUUCACCCAGCCUCCAGAACCCCAUGACUUUAGCCACUAUAUGUACUGCCUGUAUGGAGAGAAACAAACAACGGUGUAACUGUGCUAUUGCUGCAACAAUGCUGGGUAACAGACAACCCUAGUCUCAAGUAUAGGUCUGUUCCAGGUGUUUCUUCAUUUUUCAUGCAAGCAGUUACUGGGUACAGCAUGUUCUUUACAUGGAGAAUGGCAACAGCAUAAGAGGAACAGACAGAAGCUUUUCAGUAACCCUUAAGAAUUUUUCUUGCAAUCAGUCACUUCUGCUCACAUUUCAUUGACCAAAAUACAAGGCCCAGCCAAGCUUCCGUGGGAGGAAUUGCAAACUCACUUCACACAGGGUAUAGAUUCUAAUGUAGAGAAGAAUAAAAAUUUAGGAGCAAUAAUCCCAUCUACCUGUGGCCCAAGGUGUUCUGAAAAGAUGGCUAUUUUUGUGGCUUUGGGAUAUGUUCUUUGGGCCAGGAGGAAGAAGGAAGGAGUUAAUCAAUGAAAGAAUUAAUCUGGAGAAGUAUGGGAAAGGCCUCAUGCUAUGUCUAGGGGUUGGGUUUUAUGCUAUCAGCCCUGGAAAAGUACUUAUGAAGCCUUCCUGAACAGCUUCCUUAAAGAGAAUGUUUGUUUGUUUGUUUUGUUUUGUGUUGUUUUGUUUUGCUGUGCUCUGGAAAGCCAAAUCUUGAGCCAUGAUCAUCCCAGCCCGGCUAAGCAUUCCAGGAAACACGGCUGAUUGUCCAUCCCUAUAAUCAUUUAGUGGAAAUAUAUUUCUAAGGAUGUUAGAAUGGUAUUUUAAAGAGCAUCAUUCACUUGAAUUCAAAAUCUUUCUAGAUCUCUAGAAUUCAAGUAAUUUUUCUUG
rnacentral:lncRNA from 1 species